GUGCUCUCUUCGGCAGCACAUGUACUAAAAUUGGAUUGAUACAGAGAUUAGUAUGGCCCCUGCAUAAGGAUGACAGGCAAAUUUGUGAAUCAUUCUAUAUUUUA
ensembl:snRNA U6 U6 spliceosomal RNA